rnacentral:rRNA from 1 species
UGAGGAAUAUUGGUCAAUGGACGCAAGUCUGAACCAGCCAUGCCGCGUGCAGGAAGAAGGUGCUAUGCAUUGUAAACUGCUUUUAUACGGGGUAAUUACAGAUACGCGUAUCUGGUUGAAAGUACCGUAUGAAUAAGGAUCGGCUAACUCCGUGCCAGCAGCCGCGGUAAUACGGAGGAUCCGAGCGUUAUCCGGAUUUAUUGGGUUUAAAGGGUGCGUAGGCGGUCAGGUAAGUUAGAGGUGAAAGCUCGAUGCUCAACAUCGAAACUGCCUCUGAUACUGUCUGACUAGAGUGUAGUUGCGGAAGGCGGAAUGUGUGGUGUAGCGGUGAAAUGCUUAGAUAUCACACAGAACACCGAUUGCGAAGGCAGCUUUCCAAGCUAUUACUGACGCUGGGGCACGAAAGCGUGGGGGAGCGAACAGGAUUAGAUACC